rnacentral:snoRNA from 14 species
CCAAUAUAGUCAUCCAUUGAGGUUACUCGUGGCUCUGUCCAAGUGGUAUAUGGGAGCGUAGCCCUAACUGCAAUGAUGUACAAUCCCCUUCCACAGUGUUGAAGAGUAAGCCUGUCUUUGGUUCUAGAGCUGAUGAGAGCAGCAUCCUUUAUAUUCCUAUAACUUCUCCGUCUCUAGACAAUUACUGAGGAGAAACCUUGCAGGGUGUAAGA